CCUACGGGCGGCAGCAGUGGGGGAUAUUGCACAAUGGGGGAAACCCUGCUGCAGCGACGCCGCGUGUGGGAUGACGGUCCUCUGGAUUGUAAACCACUGUCCCCAGGGACGAAGAUGACGGUACCUGGGGAGGAAGCUCCGGCUAACUACGUGCCAGAAGCCGCGGGAAUACGUAGGGAGCGAGCGUUGUCCGGAAUUACUGGGUGUAAAGGGAGCGUAGGCGGGACUGCAAGUUGGGUGUCAAAUCUACCGGCUCAACCGGUAGCCGCACUCAAAACUGCAGUUCUUGAGUGAAGUAGAGGCAGGCGGAAUUCCUAGUGUAGCGGUGAAAUGCGUAGAUAUUAGGAGGAACACCAGUGGCGAAGGCGGCCUGCUGGGCUUUUACUGACGCUGAGGCUCGAAAGUGUGGGGAGCAAACAGGAUUAGAUACCCUUGUAGGC
rnacentral:rRNA from 1 species